AAAAAAAUCAAAUUAAAUAUGAAUAUAUUGAAUUUUGAACCUCAUUUGUAGGAGACAGUACUUCAAAAUGUGAUGUAAAAGAUCUUGGACCAGCAGCUAGUGGAAAUGACUACAUUAACUGUAAAAAAGUGAGGAACUAGAUUGCAUGUGUGCACAUAUACACAAGGGAACAGCCAAGAGCCCGUCCAGAUGCCACACUCCAACCAAAGGAUCGUGAUGACAGCCCAUGAUCUCCUGCCUUCAUACAGCAUCUUCAGAAAGGAAAAGAAGUCCAUAUCCACCUGCAGGGAGCAGGAAGAGGUUUGCUGUGUGUCACAGAGAAGCCAGAGCAGAUGGAAGAACGGCAAGACCUUCUGAGUCCAAGCCUCACCCUAGAUACUUAUACUUUUCAGAAGUAUUUGCAUAGUGAGGAAAACAACUGAAUAUUUAUCCAGCCCAUCAGUUGUUUUUGUGUCAGAAGACAAGAGCCUAAUUCUACAGUCCUUGAUCAAGAGUGGAAUAAAGUGACUAAAUCACAAAGUCA
rnacentral:lncRNA from 1 species